UGACUACCAUGAAGAUUAUCAAAGUUAUCAAAUGUUACAAACAUGUUACAAACGUAUAAUUAUCAAAGUUGUCGUUCAAUGGAGUCUCAUCCACGCUCCCUGCAUUUGCAUUUUUGAUCUAUAGGGAAACAAAUAUUAUAUUAAACAAUAACUUAAACAGUGUAUAAAACUUAACACCAACUUACCUGUGAAAUCGGCUUAAGCUUAAGAACAAAAUAGACAAGCGUGAAGAAACAGAGACCACAGCAACACGAUGUAAAGAACACAAUUAUAAAGUAGACAUAAUACUGAGCCAUCAUUACUUUACAAGAAGUCGGACUAAGGGAAUAAGAGGUCCAACCUAUAAAAUAAAUAAAUAUUUAAUGCUCUUUAUUGUACUAAAUAUUGCUGGAAAAUGUUUGUAGAUGUAUUGUAUCAACAUUGGAUGAGAAAGUUGGAUUUUCGUAAUUCAUUUUACAUUUAAGAGUUUUCUUUAUUCUGAUUGGUUGAGCAAGUGGUCUGUGGGCCUCUUAUAGUUAAAAUUAAUCGAGAUUGAGAUUACAUCGUAGGUUGGUUGAAAAAAAAACAGACACAUACACAAAACGUUGGAGGCGUAUCGUUUUCCAUGUAGAUUGGAUGAAGCAAUUGAAUAAAACUUAAAACGACAAGCUUGCGAUUUUGUGUAAAAUCAAUGGAUUGCGUUUGUUCUAAAAUUGUUGUAAAGAAACGUAGGAUUAAAAUCAUCGUUACCGGUAAUUUAAUCUACCCGUGAAAUUCUACACGCCAUAAUCUACCAGUACCAAGAGCAGUAUUCGGCCGGUAUCAGAAGAUAAUAGCCUUAGCUUCCAGUUGACCAAUAUCAUCAAAAAUAGACUUUGCCUCCAGGUCAUUUUUGUGACCUAGUAAAAACUUCCCCACACAGAUCUUGAAGACGAUAACCAAGAAAGUUCAGCAGAGCCCAGCAUCAACGAGAAUAUUGACAGAACAAAACAUACAGCAAUUGAAACAACAGCGAUUUUGAACAAUAAAAAAAGAACAACGAGUGUUUAAAAUGACGACGAUCAUACGUGUCAACAGAUAGCCAUAACUUACAAAUAACGGUUUCUCAUAUAAUACAGCAACGAUUCCCAACAGAGCACUAAGCAUCAGCUAUAAUAAAACAACAACAGAUCAUUAUUAAAAUGAAUUUAUUAUCAAAAAACUACUUUAAGAGCAGAAUAUGAAUGCAUUAUUUACUAUUUAUACUUAAAUGUGCAUUUAAGCGUAAACUCCUCAACAAUGUGGACGUGAUUUAUUUGUGUAAAAGAUACGAAGAUGAUUUUGUUAACAAAGCGAAGUUAUUACAGCAAAGGUUCAAGAAUGUUCUUAUAACUGUUACAUAAAAAAAUAAACGCCGCAGAUCGUUAAAUCGCUUCUGCUAAGACAGUAA